UUAAUUACGUAAUGUAUUGCGAUCUAUCAAAACAUUUCAUAGUAAACAACUUCUGUCUGCCUGAAUAUAUAAAGACGUUGUGAGAAUUAAGACAACAGAAUUACUACUAAGCAGCGAAGAUGAACACUUUAUUUAUUAUUGUAUUCUUUGGUAUUGUAGGUAUUUCACUGAGUUGUGUACCAUGUAAGAGAGACAAAGACUGCAGAUGUGGAUCUUACAGCAAUUCAACUCCUCACUGUCAUAAUUUUGGCAAUGGAAAAAAAUGCUGUUACUGUGAAAUUCCAAUUGAAUGUAAACCUAGAGGCUAUCCCAACGGUUGUCCUUCAAGAAGCUGUCGAUGUGUUCGUGAGAAAACUCACUACCACUGCGAUUGUCCACAGUAGAGAAGAUUAAAUGGAGAAGAUCUACAAAAGUACACAAGGCAUUUCGUACUUCUAUAAUAAAGUAUCAAAUAUAAAA